AACAGGAGUUGGUGGAACUUCGGCCCAAACUGGUGCAAACGAGUAAAGAGACCGCGGAGCUGAUAGAGUUCAUCAGCAAAGAGAGCGUGGAGGUCGAGGCUGUCAAAAAGGUGGUAGAGGCCGAUGAAGUGGUGGCCAAUAACGCAGCCAUGGAGGCCAAGGCCAUCAAGGAUGAAUGUGAAGCCAAACUGGCAAUAGCGAUGCCUGCCCUGAAUGCUGCUAUCUCCGCCCUGGACACACUGAAACAGAACGACAUUUCUCUAGUCAAGGCCAUGGCUAACCCCCUAACGGUGUCAAACUCGUCAUGGAGUCUGUCUGCAUCAUGAGGGGCAUCAAGCCAGACAAUAAAGUGGACGCCACUGGUCGAAAAGUUGAGGAUUAUUGGCCUGCAGCUAAAAGG